UGCUAAAAAAGGAAAACCAAAAUCCUUUCCAGCUUCGCUCUUAUCCUCCCACGCAGAGAGGAGCAUACCCAGCUCCGGCCGCCAUGAAUCGGUGGCCAGCACACUAAGAACCUCCCCGAAAAAGCCUUUACAACUUUCUACAAACCUUUAAACAAACCUUUAAACGACCCUUUUUCCCAAACGACCCAAAGGCUCUUAAAACCCCAAAGAUUUCAGAGAGAAACUUAUCUUUUUUCACAAACCUCGUUCCUCUCCAACUCAAAUCUACGGUGGAUAGGAGUUUACCUUAGAGAAAGGAGGUGCCUUUUGCUCCGAUGAGAAGGGUUCCGAGCUCCCAAAGCCGUGGAUGAAAUCCCUAUUGCUAUUUCUAAGGGCCCCGAUCACUUUUCUCCGAAAAAAAUCCCUCCUUUUUGCAUGUGAUGCUUGGGGGAAAAGAAACCUUUUUCACCAUAGAUCUUUCUUUGUGAAUCAUCGGAUGGUUGAAGAUUCCUCUUCAACGGUUUCUGACAUUUUGCACAAAGGGAAGUUUUCCCUCUACCAUGACAGAGGCAGCAUAGGCACCACACGAGGGAGCCGGGACCUUUCACGUGCGCGUGAGAAUCUGAGAAAUCAAAAAAUGACGCGUGGGAAUCUAGAAUGAUCUUGGGUGCCAUCCACGCUCCACCCAUGGUACAUUAGAUGUUCCUAGUCAUCGAAUCGGCUCGCUAUCUCCAUCGUUUAUUUUCUUCUGAUUUUUGGGGCAUCCAAAUGUUAUCUUGGACCGUUAUAUCUCAGACACGGAUCUAACGGUUGCAACUCGAUUGUGCGUGCUUUAUUUUGGGGUUAUAAGAAACCCUAAUCAAUUUUUAGUCCAGAUGGUUAGGUUAUAAGUUGUUGAUGGAUUAAGUUUUUCUAUUUGAGUAAAGACACGUAAUCGGUAAUUGAUCGAUGAUCGGUCAGUUAUAUACAAAUUGUGGAGGUUAGGUAUCAGAUGAAAUACUAUCCAGUGGAAAGAAAUAAUAGUUUCGGUGUUUCUUCUUAAA